GAUGAGUGCUAAGUGUUGGAGGGUUUCCGCCCUUCAGUGCUGCAGCAAACGCAUUAAGCACUCCGCCUGGGGAGUACGACCGCAAGGUUGAAACUCAAAGGAAUUGACGGGGGCCCGCACAAGCGGUGGAGCAUGUGGUUUAAUUCGAAGCAACGCGAAGAACCUUACCAGGUCUUGACAUCCUUUGACCACUCUAGAGAUAGAGCUUUCCCUUCGGGGACAAAGUGACAGGUGGUGCAUGGUUGUCGUCAGCUCGUGUCGUGAGAUGUUGGGUUAAGUCCCGCAACGAGCGCAACCCUUAUUGUUAGUUGCCAUCAUUUAGUUGGGCACUCUAGCGAGACUGCCGGUGACAAACCGGAGGAAGGUGGGGAUGACGUCAAAUCAUCAUGCCCCUUAUGACCUGGGCUACACACGUGCUACAAUGGGAAGUACAACGAGUCGCUAGACCGCGAGGUCAUGCAAAUCUCUUAAAGCUUCUCUCAGUUCGGAUUGCAGGCUGCAACUCGCCUGCAUGAAGCCGGAAUCGCUAGUAAUCGCGGAUCAGCACGCCGCGGUGAAUACGUUCCCGGGCCUUGUACACACCGCCCGUCACACCACGAGAGUUUGUAACACCCGAAGUCGGUGAGGUAACCUUUUUGGAGCCAGCCGCCUAAGGUGGGAUAGAUGAUUGGGGUGAAGUCGUAACAAGGUAGCCGUAUCGGAAGGUGCGGCUGGAUCACCUCCUUU
rnacentral:rRNA from 1 species